rnacentral:lncRNA from 1 species
UGCACUUUCAAAUGAAUUUGCUUUCAAAAUAAAUGAAGAGCAGCUGUCCUUCUUUCCUCUUUUAAGUGUUCAGCUGUGGCAUGCUCAGAGGUUCCUGCUGGAUUCCAGCUGGAGCAGUGUGAUACCCUUCUUUUUCAGCUGUUCGUGCCUUCCUUUCUUGUAUCCACCAAAGUGGAGACAAAAACAUGAUCUCAAAGAUACACAGUACCUACUUAAUUCCAGCUGAUGGGAGACCAAAGAAUUUGCAAGUGGAUGGUUUGGUAUCACUGUAAAUAAAAAGAGGGCCUGGGA